GCUCCACACAAACUAGUGGCCUUUGGCCACUGCUUUGCUCUUUUGACACAACAUACUCACUAUUUUCAGAAACUGUGGCUCCAGGUUGGCUUUUCUUGCCUGCUGAAAUUUGCAAAGUGCAGGCAUUUCUGUCUUCAUGCCGAUUUCAGAGAGGGCAACAACAACGCCAUCAUCGUCAUAUUACUCGUUGGAGUUGGAUCCACUGUUGAGUGAUCUCGCAGAGAAGAAGCUUAGCCUGAGGAGAAGCUUGGCUUGGCUGGAUGCAGAGCUCAAGGAUGCCAAGAUCAAGCUUGCUUCCAAGGAACAGUUGCUUGCUCAGGAAUCAGAAAACAGGAAGAAGUUUGCUGAGUCGAGGGCGAGAAGCAUGGAGGAGGAGGUGAAGAAGCUGCAUAAAUGUUUACAGGACAAGGAUGAGCAGCUGCGAACAUCAAUAUGUAGCACUGAACAGUAUUUGUCUUCCUACAAAUUGGAUAUUCUUAGAUCACAGAUUUCAGUGGCACAAGCCACUGCAGAAGCCAGUGCAGAAUCAGCCAUGUUGGCACGGUUGCAGUGCUUGUCCCUGUCAGGAGGGCAUGAGAAGAUCAAUUCUUUGGGUGAAUGCGAGCUUCGAGUGAAGAAGGUAGAGGAGCAGCUAGAUCUUGUUCAGAAGUUCCUUGAAGCGAAAGAGCUCUCGCAGUUGGAGAAGAAUCAAAUGACAACGGUUCAUGAGCUGAAGAAGAAGGUACUGAAACUUGAAUGCACCCUCAAAGUAUCAAGAGCUCAGCUGCGAAAACUACAUAAGAUGGUAGAGCGAAGAGAUAAACCUCUCAAAAAACUACAAAGCCGAUUGCCGCUGAAGCAGCAGACCGCCUGCGACAAGCAGAAGUUGUGGGAGAGCUCAGGCUUCAGGAUCAUAGCCUCCAUGUCAAUAUUGGCCCUGGCUAUGCUGUCGAAGCGAUGAACUGAACAAGUGAUGAUUGACGUCGUCGUGUAUCAGUUGUCUAUGGCAGACGCAAAUGUUCCUGUAUUGGUGUCAGGGUUAUGAGAUAGUUGAUGACUUCAGCGUGGUGGAAACUUAAACCAAUGCACUAAAUGAACUUGGGGAAGAAGAUCGUGGCCAGCGGCGGCUAAGGUGCGCCAUUUUCAUUUCUGAAUCGGCCAUUUAUUGUGCUGAUGCUGAUGAUGAGAUUGGGUUUGAAUUUGAUGGACAGAGAGCCUCCAGGUUUGGCUGAUAAAGAUGUAGAAAAAUAAACAUGGUAAAAAAUUAAAUUUUAGAA